rnacentral:rRNA from 1 species
GACGAACGCUGGCGGCAUGCCUAACACAUGCAAGUCGAACGAGACCUUCGGGUCUAGUGGCGCACGGGUGCGUAACGCGUGGGAACCUGCCCUUAGGUUCGGAAUAACUCCCCGAAAGGGGUGCUCAUACCGGAUAAUGUCUUCGGACCAAAGAUUUAUCGCGUUUGGAUGGGCCCGCGUGGGAUUCGCUGGUUGGUAGGGUAAAAGCAUGCCAAGGCGUCGAUGCAUAGCUGGUCUGAGAGGAUGAUCAGCCGCACUUGGACUGAGACACGGCCCAGACCCGGACGGGGGGCAGCAGUGGGGAGUAUUGGAGGAUGGGCGAAAGCCUGGUCCAGCAGUGCCGCGGGAGUGAUCAAGGCCGUAGGGUUGUAAAUCUCUUUUACCCGGGAUGAGAGUGACAGUACCGGGUGAAGAAGCACCGGCUAACUCCGUG